UACGUAGGGUGCGAGCGUUAAUCGGAAUUACUGGGCGUAAAGCGUGCGCAGGCGGUUUUGUAAGCCAGAUGUGAAAGCCCCGGGCUCAACCUGGGAAUGGCAUUUGGGACUGCAAGGCUGGAGUGUGGCAGAGGAGACUGGAAUUCCUGGUGUAGCAGUGAAAUGCGUAGAUAUCGGGAGGAACACCACUGGCGAAGGCAGCUCGCUGGGACGUGACUGACGCUGAGGCGCGAAAGCGUGGGGAGCAAACAGG
rnacentral:rRNA from 1 species